rnacentral:lncRNA from 1 species
AACCUCCUGGUGUGGUCUCCAGACCUUGCUUUGCGUCCAUUUAAGUUUUUUGAAUAUUUUGCAGAAGGGGAGCUUUCUAGAGGAGCACUUCUUUGACAUAAUCAGGCCACUCUCAAGGCUUAUUAGCAUCAUCUCCUAGAGGAGAAGUCGCCGUGCAAGAAAUACUGUUUGCCCGUACUGGCAACUUUAAAACAGGAUUAAGCACUGAAAUGAAUGAACAUGCAAAAACAUUUCAAAGGCUGCAGCCCAUUCAGUACUGAGGAAUGAACUGCAAACUCCCAGCUGCUCUCCUGCAGGAAAGUGCCAUGUCUUCAUCAAAAUCCUAUGAGUUACUACUGAGCUUCUCAAUUGCUGUGUGCCGAUGUACCAUGAUAGUAAAAGACUUUCCCAAAUUACAGAUCUCUCUGCAAGAAUUUUCAGGGCUGAAGUUUAUCCGACCCAUACCUCCAGCUACAGCAAAUGUGUUCUCCCUGACCUUUGUUUUGAUGGUGCAAAUUACUGGAUUGAGAGUUCCUUAUGCUUUUCAGGUUGGUGGAUGCUGUGUGACCAGGUAA